GAUGAACGCUAGCUACAGGCUUAACACAUGCAAGUCGAGGGGCAGCACUAGGUAGCAAUACUGAGGUGGCGACCGGCGCACGGGUGCGUAACGCGUAUCCAACCUUCCCGUUACUCUUGGAUAGCCUUCCGAAAGGGAGAUUAAUACAAGAUGGUAUUCAAAUUCCGCAUGUUAUUUGAAUUAAAGAUUUAUCGGUAACGGAUGGGGAUGCGUGACAUUAGGUAGAUGGCGGGGUAACGGCCCACCAUGCCUACGAUGUCUAGGGGUUCUGAGAGGAAGGUCCCCCCACACUGGAACUGAGACACGGUCCAGACUCCUACGGGAGGCAGCAGUGAGGAAUAUUGGUCAAUGGUCGAGAGACUGAACCAGCCAAGUAGCGUGCAGGAUGACGGCCCUCCGGGUUGUAAACUGCUUUAGUUGGAAUAAGUUCGGGACGUGUCCCGUUUUGUAUGUACCAUCAG
rnacentral:rRNA from 1 species